rnacentral:rRNA from 1 species
CUCUGUGACUCCUACGGGAGGCAGCAGUGGGGAAUAUUGCACAAUGGGGGAAACCCUGAUGCAGCCAUGCCGCGUGUGUGAAGAAGGCCUUCGGGUUGUAAAGCACUUUCAGUAGGGAGGAAGUUAGUGUAGUUAACACCUGCAUUAUUUGACGUUACCUACAGAAGAAGCACCGGCUAACUCCGUGCCAGCAGCCGCGGUAAUACGGAGGGUGCGAGCGUUAAUCGGAAUUACUGGGCGUAAAAGCGCAUGCAGGCGGCCUGUUAAGUCAGAUGUGAAAGCCCCGGGGCUUAACCUCGGAAUUGCAUUUGAAACUGGCAGGCUAGAGUCUUGUAGAGGGGGUAGAAUUUCAGGUGUAGCGGUGAAAUGCGUAGAGAUCUGAAGGAAUACCAGUGGCGAAGGCGGCCCCCUGGACAAAGACUGACGCUCAGAUGCGAAAGCGUGGGGAGCAAACAGGAUUAGAUACCCUGGUAG